GAGGGGAACCGACCAAGCGAAAGAAAACCAGCCAAAACUCAUCCAGCAGAAAUCAAGACCAACCGUCAAUCGGAGAACCCUACCCAAGGACUAGCUAUCGAAUCAAUCCCAUCUAUCACCGGUUGGUGACCCUCAUGUCACCACAGACCAACAUGCACACAUGCAAUACUACUUUCCUUUUGACCAGGCCCUUGGUAACCUAUCUCAUCCAGAUUCCUCUGCGUCGCUCAGUUUGGCCGUUGAUCCGUCGAAAUCUGGAAUCCGCUCCUCCGAUCGAUUCUGCUUCAACCUGGUGCACGGCGAUCGCACAAAACCUUCUUCGCUUGGGGCACCGUUCGAUGCAGGCUGUUCAAUUUUCAGCUUCA